AGCACAUGAAUUCAAACCGUCAUUAAAGAGUUAGAUGACAUGUCUUAAUGUGGGAGAUUAGCACUCAAUCAAAAACAUUUAAUUUUUAACUUGUCCUAAAUCAGGUACUGUUGUCUCUUUCCCUAUCAUUUUGUCUCUCUUUCUUCUGUGCGCGUAGAUGACUGUAGAGAGACGGAGAGAGCAGCAACAAAGACAAUAAUAAGCAAAUAUGAUUGAUUCGUGAAUUCAAAGAAA
rnacentral:misc_RNA from 1 species